UUGAACGCUGGCGGAAUGCUUUACACAUGCAAGUCGAGCGGCAGCGCGGGGGCAACCCUGGCGGCGAGCGGCGAACGGGUGAGUAAUGUAUCGGAACGUACCCUGUCGUGGGGGAUAACACAGCGAAAGCUGUGCUAAUACCGCAUACGACCUGAGGGUGAAAGCGGGGGAUCGCAAGACCUCGCGCGAUAGGAGCGGCCGAUAUCGGAUUAGCUUGUUGGUGAGGUAAAGGCUCACCAAGGCGACGAUCCGUAGCUGGUCUGAGAGGACGACCAGCCACACUGGAACUGAGACACGGUCCAGACUCCUACGGGAGGCGGCAGUGGGGAAUUUUGGACAAUGGGGGCAACCCUGAUCCAGCCAUUCCGCGUGAGUGAAGAAGGCCUUCGGGUUGUAAAGCUCUUUCGGCAGGAACGAAACGGCGGAAUCUAAUACAUUCCACUAAUGACGGUACCUGAAGAAGAAGCACCGGCUAACUACGU
rnacentral:rRNA from 1 species